CAGAAAAGAAAAUUUAGACGAGAUGGACUUCAGAAUUAGAAAAAAAAAAUUCAUGAAAUUGAUGCUAUGGUGAUGAUUUCGAGUCGAUUUUAACAUGACCUAGGUAUUUAUUUUGAGGGAAAUCAAUCAAUUGAAGAUUGUUUCAAGAUGAUGGUGAUCUUUUGAACCGAUAUUUUGUACGAUUUGAUGCAGAUGAUGGUUUAUAGUUGAUUCUGGUGAUGAAAAAGUUAGUGGGUUUCUCUUUUUUGAUGAGUUAGAUGAUGGGGGGGGGGGAAGUGAAUCAGGAGAUAUUUGCAAAAUACCUUGGGGAGCUGCAUCGAAAGGAGAACACAAACGACCGGUACGUAGCUGCUUUAAAAGGAGAGACAUUGACAAGGAAUCCUUAGUUAGGAUUCAACCCAUACCAAAACCCCCUGCAGCACCAGCACCAGCACUAAAGUUACUGAUCAGAAGGAGCUUAAGUAGUUGGAAGGUUGAGUGCUAGUCAGCUGAAAGAAGUUGGAGGAACAACAAGGAUAUUCAGCAAUAGUCAUCAUUACGUUGAAAUUGUACGUGAUGAAUCCAGAGGUUUAGAGACGUAAUAUAGCAGAUAAAAAGAUGAGAGUUUGUUUGAAGGACUGAGUUGUGAAACGGUGUAUCAAAUACUAGUUUUUAUAUAAUUGAGAAUGAUUUUUUGACACAGACGAAGCGCUGGUCUGGUGGUGUAGUUGUUAGUGGGAUCCCUGCAGGUGGUGGCAUCGAUUCUCCAUCAAAUUUUCCAAAAAAAUUUUUGUUUUAAAAAUACCAGAUGGGCAGGUGGGUGGCAGGUUCACGUUCUUUCUAUUCUUUCUUUUACUGAACAAGAGGGACAGGUGUGAGGCUGACGUUCCUCCUUUUACUGAAAAGUCUGGCUAGUUCACGUGACAUCAAAAGUCAAGUGUCUGUAAGGUCAGACUUUCUUAUCAUGAUAAAAUUCAAACUUUGCCGCUUCAUUUCAAGCUUUCCCUCCUAAAAAAGCUCCUCUCCCGCCAAAUAAAAAGCUCCUCAAAAAUAUAUUUAUUGUUUGGGGUAGUCAGUUUGUGUGAUAAUCCGUGUUAAUGAACAACGUCAUAUGGAUAUGGAUCAUACUUGUUAUUUAGCUGCGAUUUUGUGUCUUUUAAGUAUCAAAAUUAAAUUCAUUUAUGAUAAUUUUUGUCGAAGGGUAA